UUCUUUUGAAGGUAGAAAUGAUAUGAUUAAUCACUUGCAUCAGUUGCAUGUAGUCGACCGAAAGGUGAAGGUAGGAUUUUCUUUAGAAAAAAGAAAAGAUGUCAGGGGCACACUAAGGUUUUUCACCCUCAUUGUCCAAGACCCAAUACGCGAGAAUGAUGAGGCAUAGAUCGUUCUAGGAAAUAUCGAGUCGGUCUCCAAAGGUUGUUGAAAGCCUAAACGAUCGUAAGAUCACUUGGCUGGAUCAAUACAGAGGGUGUGGGAUGGAACGCAUGUGAUCAUAUUUCUUUUUUUGUUUUGGA
rnacentral:lncRNA from 1 species